CAAAAAUGAGCCGACCGGACCGAACGUUUCACUCCGGUCGGCUCAUUGAAGUGAAUGGCAUACGGGAGCGCAUACGGUCACAUACGGGAGCGCGAGGGAGCUAAAACGGUUUUAGGUCCGGUUGUAAAAGCGCAUACGGCGCAAAAAUGAGCCGACCGGACCGAACGUUUCACUCCGGUCGGCUCAUUGAAGUGAAUGACAUACGGGAGCGCAUACGGUCACAUACGGGAGCGCGAGGUUUUAGCUCCCUCCUGCCGUAUGCGCUCCCGUAUGGGACAAAACGUAGUGUGGACCCAGCCUUAUAAUGGGUGCCUGCCCUAACAAAUGAAGUUGAACACAAGACAGGCAUGUUGGAUUUCAACUGCCUAGUCCAGUGUUUCCCAACCGGGGUGCCUCCAGCUGUUGCAAAACUACAACUCCUAGCAUUUCAUCCAUUUCACUGCUACAGUAAGUGCCGCACAGAAAGGCGAACAAUAUGCCUGGUGUGUGCUACAUGGAUUUCAGCAUCCACGUAAAAAUAAAUGGGCACUCUACAUCCUAUACAUUUCAAUGUGGUUUCUGCAACUCUGUCCACAUGCAGUAGACUAUUCCUGUGGUGGAUUUUCUCCUAGCUGUUUAAAACAUAUUAGCUGAGGGAAUAAAUGACAAUGGAGCAAACCUUUGUGAAGUUCUGCACAUACAGCAGAUACCCUAGGCUCACGUGCUGGAUUUGUAUCCCUUGAGUGCAGCUCUGGAUGUGACUAAAGUAUAGGACACUAUAACCCAAGAUCAGCACAAGAUGAGUGUUUGCAGAGUUAUUGACUAUUUUAUGAGGUGUCCUGUAGUGUGGCAUCUAACACUGAGCACCUACAGUAUGUAAGGCACUUCUACAACCAUUACUCUAUAUUAUAUUUCAGUCUUAAGUUUCUCUUGGUUGACCCUGAAGCUCAUCCAUAACAACCCCCCUCCGCUCAUGCUUUUAUUUGUAUUCAUAUAUGACCAGAUAUUCAGCUGCAGCUUUGUAAGUGUGUAGAGCAGACACUGAUUUACGCACUAAUGUGAAGCUCUGUGUAUGCCGGUUACCUGUACUCCUCCCAUCUAUCAUCUUUCCGAAGUACAUUAUUUAGCAUCAUAUUACAAUAAAAUGAUGAUGAAAUUCUA